UGGUUUUGUUUCACGUAACUAAUCGAUCUAAAUGUCCUAAAGGAAUACAACCUGUUUCUGGCACAUGGGUUCCAUUUCUUGCUGAUGUCACCACCCAGGACCAAAGGAUGUUAGCUCAUUUCCUCUAAGACUGCCUCCCAGCCACUCAUCAUGGCUGAUCUGCAGGGAAUGGGAUGGGCUGUCCCCUCACCUGUAUGGACCUAAGAAUUUACACUGUCACAGAAGCUGGGGAUGGCUGGUGACUCCACAAUGAUCAGCGCCUUCGUUGCGGCUCUGGGCAAUUAAGACUACCGUGCAGACCCCAGCCGACUGCCUCCUCGUGACAGUAAAUGUCACAGUAAGCAGGACCCUCAGGCCUCUAGACCUCAGCUUCUCCAUUUCAAGAAUAUGAUGCAAUGAGGGGAUCCCCACACCCCACAGGUACCAGGUACUGCAGGUCUCAGGGUCUAUGACCUCAUGGUCAAGUCACAGGGAUGCAGUAAUUGCUUCUCCAGACCAGGCACGGCUUUCUCCUCUCUUUCAGUAAUGAGAUGGGGAGGUUAAGACUGGCCAGAAGUCCCAAAGACUUCUCUGUAGACAGGACAACUCUUUUAAAAAGUGUGUACUGAUUGUCAACAAAGGAAAACUCGCAAAGGUAAA